AAGACCUAAAGGAAGAGGUCAACACCCAGUGUGACGAUUUACAAAGACAACUGCAACAGAGCCAGGAGGACGCGGAUCGCCUGCAGCAGCAGCUGCACAAGAAGGAUGCCAACCUCAAACAGCUGCAGCAGCAGUCAGAAGAGCAGAUCAGGGAGAAUAACAGCCUGCAAAAUGAGAAGAACAAACUUGAGGAUAAUGUACAAGAUCUCCAAAACAGACUGAGUAAUGUGGAAGACAAGACAAUCUAUGCCAGGCAGGUGAUCCUGGAUCCAAACCCAGCACACCCGAGAAUAGCUCUUUCUGCAGAUGACACCAGGACUUCUACUAGUGAGGAAAUACAAAACGUCCCAGACCAUCCAAGCCGGUUUAAUGUGGUUCUCGCUGUCCUUGGCACGACUGGCUUCUGAACUGGCAGACAGUACUGGGAGGUGUCUGUAGCUGGGAAGCCUUGGUACCACCUUGGAAUGGCCAGUGGUCACCUUUUAUUAUUCCAUUUCAGACGCAACCACUUACACUGGGAAUCCUGCUGGACUACAUAAAGGGACAGAUCUCAUAUUACGAUGCAGGUGCCAGAUCUCAUAUGUACUCAUUUGUAGGUCAAAGGUUUACAGUCAAAAUCUAUCCAUUUGUCAAUUACUGUGUUGAGGAUGUUGAAAGUCUGACGCCAAUAGUGUUACUGUGUCCUGGUUCAGUUGACUGGAUAAAAUAGAGAACAGGGCAAAUGAUCUUUUCUCCGAAGUAAAAUCUCAGCCAUGUCCCUCAUUCAUGUUAACCUUAGUAGGGAAAUAAAACAACCCUGCAACUGCAGAGUAGUUCUCACACAUACUUAUGUUGUUACUGCUGCUAAAUUUUUCAGACAAACAACAAAUGUACAGUGAUGUAUUUUGUUUAUUUGUCUUAGGUUUUAAAAAGAAUUUGUCCUCUUUCCCAGGUGUUUCGAUCACUAGGCCCACUUAUGAAAAAUGUACCCUAAGUUUAAUUGUUACAGCCAGAUAUUUAAUCUGUCUAUUUCAUGUUCACAUCAUUGGGUCACUAGACGGCAGAGCUUCUCCUAUGAUGAGAGCAUUACACAAAAAGUUCUGAAAUUUCUUUAA